AAUAGAGGCGGCGGGUGGCGAACAUGUAAGCUUUUAUCUGUUCAUUCAAAAAAGUUACAACACUCAGGGAAGAAAUUGGCUUGUUUUCUCAAUUUCAAGUCAUAAUUUACUACUUAUUUUCCUUAAUUUCUUCUAACGCUAAGAAGAACUUGAUUUGCUUGGCACGACACGGGAGAACGAUGACCAGCCCACCUCUGCUUUUUGCACUCGGGCCCUCUCUUUGUUCUCUUUGCAAUCUACUCUGCCUUUAGAGACGAAAACAAUUGGAUGUUUUCUUCGAUUUCAUUCGUGCCUUCCGUGUUCUUCCUUUAUAACCCGAUAAGUUGUCAUGGCCAAAUUAAGGAUAUCGUUCCAAGAGAAAACCAUCAUCACUGCUCUGCUAAAUGGUAUGUGAUGAAGGAAUUCAUUUUUCUUUCUAGGGUUUUGUUUGAUUUCAGUUUUGAUUUUGGGUUUUUUUAUGUUGCAUGUCUUCUUUCCUGUUGAGAUAAAAGUAAGUAAUACAAUCGGAGACGCGUGCAAGAAUUUCAGGACGGACCAGAAGUCUUAUGGUGAUUGAUUAAUAGCAGAAUCAGAGACGUGAGAAAGAAUUUCAGGACAAACCGAUCUUGAAGGCUCUGAUCUCCCUAUUUAUUUGACUAAGAUUCAGAAGAUAGGAUUGUAAUUCUGAAAGUAAGAGGCAAAAUAUACAAAACAGGAGGAGGAUUUCCGAACAGAAGGGACGAAAAAAAGAGAGAAAGGAAUGCACAAUCUUUAGACGUAAAAAAAAAACCGGCAGGCACGAUCUCCACAUAGACGAAUGAGUACAUCAACACCCAUUCAACACCCAUCACUCUCCAAAUUUAUAGUUCCUAAGAAAAUUGGUAUCGGCUGAGGAGGAGGAUUUCCGAACAGAAGGGACGAAAAAAAGAGAGAAAGGAAUGCACAAUCUUUAGACGUAAAAAAAAACCGGCAGGCACGAUCUCCACAUAGACGAAUGAGUACAUCAACACCCAUUCAACACCCAUCACUCUCCAAAUUUAUAGUUCCUAAGAAAAUUGGUAUCGGCUGAGAUGGACAGAUUCACGUACGUACGUAUAGCACCCAUACAUCUAUCUAUCAAGCUAGUACAAAACUAUGGACAUGCAUGCACUAAUUACAGUACUACUCUACCGGCAACGAACUAUAAACCUGAGUUUCAUUGUGUGUUUGGAACUUGUACAACAAAGAUUUUAAUAGGCUUUAUUGUGUGAAGAUGGACCUCGGCAUGAUGGUCGAAAGAGGCGCUCGGCAAUUGGCUCAUCAGACAGCUAACAUAGUUGUGUGAAAUAUAUCAUACAACUAAUGUAAACUUGAGCUCUAUUGUGUGUUUGUCAUUGUACGACAAAGAACUUAUUGAAAUUUGUUGUGAAAGAGUAGAUUGAGACAACAAACAUCUUGUGGAUCAUUGUUGUAUGGUUAGUUAUCAUGCAACAAAUGUGUUGAGUUGUUUUGUUGUGGAGGCUUCUCCCAAACAACAAAACUCAAUAUCCCUUUUGUUGUAUGUUUGCUUAUUUUGCCAUAGACAAUUGAUUGAAAUGUUUUGUGCUAUUUUAUCCCACAACAAAAUUUAGUAUCCCUUUUAAUGUAUGGUUGCUUAGUAUGCAACAAAUAAUUAAUUAAAAUGGGUUGU